GCCAUAACCAUGAUACGAACAUCUGUCAGGCUCCCCUUUCGAGCUCUCUAACCCAGGCAGUACAAAAGCGGAAUAUUUUUUCUCUUACCAUUUUGAUGAAGAAGAGGAAAAGCAGUUAAUAGUUUCAGAACCUGAGGCAGAAAAUCCUUGACUGACCUGAAGACAUUUAGUCGAGUGGCAAGCGUGUAACAUAAAGAAAAACACAGCAAUCUCCACUGGUGCAGUAAAACCAUGGGCAAGUCGGGGAGUAAAGUUCUCAUAGAAACCUCUGUGGAUGGGGUUCAAGCAC